rnacentral:rRNA from 1 species
UACAGAGGUCUCAAGCGUUGUUCGGAUUCAUUGGGCGUAAAGGGUGCGUAGGCGGCGCGGUAAGUCGGGUGUGAAAUCUCGGAGCUUAACUCCGAAACUGCAUUCGAUACUGCCGUGCUUGAGGACUGGAGAGGAGACUGGAAUUUACGGUGUAGCGGUGAAAUGCGUAGAUAUCGGGAGGAACACCAAUGGCGAAGGCAGCUUGCUGGGACGGUACUGACGCUGAGGCGCGAAAGCGUGGGGAGCAAACAGGG